rnacentral:lncRNA from 1 species
AUUAAGUGGAGAAGUUUGUGACAGUGAAUUGAAUAUACUCUUGGCUAAGAUCCAUCGCGUACGUUAAUAUCGUGUGAAAAUUGAGUGAGUUGAUGAGUAUGUGGGGAUUUAUCCCAGGAUUGAUUAGUAUCGGUAUUCAAUUAGAAUUUGACUGUGAGAGGUUGUGAGUUGAACCUCGAAAGUCGCCCAAAGUAUGGCUGUGCCAGUAGGGCC